rnacentral:rRNA from 1 species
UUCCAGCUCCAAUAGCGUAUAUUAAAGUUGUUGCAGUUAAAAAGCUCGUAGUUGAAUUUCGGGGUCAGUAGGCUGGUCGUGCCACAGGUAUGUACUGGUCUCACUGAUUCCUCCUUCCUGAUGAACCGUAAUGCCAUUAAUUUGGUGUUGCGGGGAGGCUGGACUGUUACUUUGAAAAAAUUAGAGUGUUUAAAGCAGGCUAACGCUUGAAUACAUUAGCAUGGAAUAACGAAAUAGGACGUUCGAUCUUAUUUUGUUGGUUUCUAAGAUUGACGUAAUGAUUAAUAGGGAUAGUUGGGGGCAUUAGUAUUCAAUUGUCAGAGGUGAAAUUCUUGGAUUUAUUGAAGACUAACUACUGCGAAAGCAUUUGCCAAGGAUGUUUUCAUUAAUCAAGAACGAAAGUUAGGGGAUCGAAGACGAUCAGAUACCGUCGUAGUCUUAACCAUAAACUAUGCCGACUAGGGAUCGG